rnacentral:snoRNA from 1 species
CUCCAGCCUGGGUGACAGAGCGAGACUCCGUCUCAAAAAAAAAAAAAAAAAAGACCAUGCAUAUAUCCCCAGAACUAGUUCUUUCCCUAGGUCUAGUUUUAUAAAUGCUGCUGAUAAAC